AUUGGGAUGAAAACCUUUUGACUGAGAAAUUAUGUUGAAAUUCUUCAGUCCUCUAAGAAGUUCUGAAUAG